ACUGCUUUUCUUUGAUGUCCCCAUAUUGAGGAGCCCGAUAGCCAACUUUUUGUUUUCCUGCUAUCGGGUUUUUUGUU
rnacentral:sRNA from 3 species